GAGGCGGGUCCUGAAAAGCCUAAUAGUAAACGAGUAGGGA
rnacentral:ncRNA from 1 species